AUUGAACGCUGGCGGCAGGCCUAACACAUGCAAGUCGAACGAGUGGCGGACGGGUGAGUAUUGUCUGGGCAACUGCCUGAUGGAGGGGGAUCACUACUGGAAACGGUAGCUAAUACCGCAUACCAUCGGAUGUGCCCAGAUGGGAUUAGCUAGUAGGUGGGGUAAAGGCUCACCAAGGAGGCGAUCCCUAGCUGGUCUGAGAGGAUGACCCGCCACACUGGAACGAGCACACGUUCUGUGCUCCAAUGGGAGGCGGCAGUGGGGAAUAUUGCACAAUGGGGCCAAGCCAGAUGCAGCCAGGCCGCAUGGAUGAAGAAGUCGUUCGAGUUGUAAAGUACUUUCAGCGGGGAGACGUUACCCGCAUAUGAAGCACCGGCUAACUCCGUGCCAGCAGCCGCGGUAAUAC
rnacentral:rRNA from 1 species